GCCGAACGGUUCGCCAAUCAGCAGCAGACCCUCCCUCCCAGACCCUCCCUCCUCCUGGACAGCAUCCAUUUUGAAGCUGCAUUCUUAGUGAGCUGUCCAGGAGGUGGGAGGGUCUGGGAGGGAGGGUCUGCUGCUGAUUGGCUGGAAUGUGUC